rnacentral:rRNA from 1 species
CAGGCUUAACACAUGCAAGUCGAGGGGCAGCAUUUCAGUUUGCUUGCAAACUGGAGAUGGCGACCGGCGCACGGGUGAGUAACACGUAUCCAACCUGCCGAUAACUCGGGGAUAGCCUUUCGAAAGAAAGAUUAAUACCCGAUGGUAUAAUCAGACCGCAUGGUCUUGUUAUUAAAGAAUUUCGGUUAUCGAUGGGGAUGCGUUCCAUUAGGCAGUUGGUGAGGUAACGGCUCACCAAACCUUCGAUGGAUAGGGGUUCUGAGAGGAAGGUCCCCCACAUUGGAACUGAGACACGGUCCAAACUCCUACGGGAGGCAGCAGUGAGGAAUAUUGGUCAAUGGGCGCAGGCCUGAACCAGCCAAGUAGCGUGAAGGAUGACUGCCCUAUGGGUUGUAAACUUCUUUUAUAUGGGAAUAAAGUUUUCCACGUGUGGAAUUUUGUAUGUACCAUAUGAAUAAGGAUCGGCUAACUCCGUGCCAGCAGCCGCGGUAAUACGGAGGAUCCGAGCGUUAUCCGGAUUUAUUGGGUUUAAAGGGAGCGUAGGUGGACAGUUAAGUCAGUUGUGAAAGUUUGCGGCUCAACCGUAAAAUUGCAGUUGAUACUGGCUGUCUUGAGUACAGUAGAGGUGGGCGGAAUUCGUGGUGUAGCGGUGAAAUGCUUAGAUAUCACGAAGAACUCCGAUUGCGAAGGCAGCUCACUGGACUGCAACUGACACUGAUGCUCGAAAGUGUGGGUAUCAAACAGGAUUAGAUACCCUGGUAGUCCACACAGUAAACGAUGAAUACUCGCUGUUUGCGAUAUACAGUAAGCGGCCAAGCGAAAGCAUUAAGUAUUCCACCUGGGGAGUACGCCGGCAACGGUGAAACUCAAAGGAAUUGACGGGGGCCCGCACAAGCGGAGGAACAUGUGGUUUAAUUCGAUGAUACGCGAGGAACCUUACCCGGGCUUAAAUUGCAUUUGAAUAUAUUGGAAACAGUAUAGCCGUAAGGCAAAUGUGAAGGUGCUGCAUGGUUGUCGUCAGCUCGUGCCGUGAGGUGUCGGCUUAAGUGCCAUAACGAGCGCAACCCUUAUCUUUAGUUACUAACAGGUCAUGCUGAGGACUCUAGAGAGACUGCCGUCGUAAGAUGUGAGGAAGGUGGGGAUGACGUCAAAUCAGCACGGCCCUUACGUCCGGGGCUACACACGUGUUACAAUGGGGGGUACAGAAGGCAGCUACCUGGUGACAGGAUGCUAAUCCCAAAAGCCUCUCUCAGUUCGGAUCGAAGUCUGCAACCCGACUUCGUGAAGCUGGAUUCGCUAGUAAUCGCGCAUCAGCCAUGGCGCGGUGAAUACGUUCCCGGGCCUUGUACACACCGCCCGUCAAGCCAUGAAAGCCGGGGGUACCUGAAGUACGUAACCGCAAGGAGCGUCCUAGGGUAAAACUGGUAAUUGGGGC